rnacentral:rRNA from 1 species
GAUGAACGCUGGCGGCGUGCCUAAUACAUGCAAGUCGAGCGAACAGACGAGGAGCUUGCUCCUCUGACGUUAGCGGCGGACGGGUGAGCAACACGUGGAUAACCUACCUAUAAGACUGGGAUAACUUCGGGAAACCGGAGCUAAUACCGGAUAAUAUAUUGAACCGCAUGGUUCAAUAGUGAAAGACGGUUUUGCUGUCACUUAUAGAUGGAUCCGCGCCGCAUUAGCUAGUUGGUAAGGUAACGGCUUACCAAGGCAACGAUGCGUAGCCGACCUGAGAGGGUGAUCGGCCACACUGGAACUGAGACACGGUCCAGACUCCUACGGGAGGCAGCAGUAGGGAAUCUUCCGCAAUGGGCGAAAGCCUGACGGAGCAACGCCGCGUGAGUGAUGAAGGUCUUCGGAUCGUAAAACUCUGUUAUUAGGGAAGAACAAAUGUGUAAGUAACUAUGCACGUCUUGACGGUACCUAAUCAGAAAGCCAUGGCUAACUACGUG